UACGUAGGUGACCAGCGUUGUCCGGAUCUACUGGGCGUAAAGAGCGCGCAGGCGGUCGUUCAAGUCGAGUGUGAAAGCCCCCGGCUCAACUGGGGAGGGUCAUUCGAUACUGAUCGACUCGAAGGCGGGAGAGGGAAGCGGAAUUCCCGGUGUAGUGGUGAAAUGCGUAGAUAUCGGGAGGAACACCAGUGGCGAAGGCGGCUUCCUGGCCUGUUCUUGACGCUGAGGCGCGAAAGCUAGGGGAGCAAACGGG
rnacentral:rRNA from 1 species